rnacentral:rRNA from 1 species
CCUACGGGUGGCAGCAGUGAGGAAUAUUGGUCAAUGGACGGAAGUCUGAACCAGCCAUGCCGCGUGCAGGAAGGCGGCUCUAUGAGUUGUAAACUGCUUUUGUACAAGGGUAAACCUGAAUACGUGUAUUCAGCUGAAAGUACUGUACGAAUAAGGAUCGGCUAACUCCGUGCCAGCAGCCGCGGUAAUACGGAGGAUCCAAGCGUUAUCCGGAUUUAUUGGGUUUAAAGGGUGCGUAGGCGGAUUGAUAAGUUAGUGGUGAAAUGCCCGGGCUUAACUCGGGAACUGCCUCUAAUACUGUUGGUCUAGAGAGUAGAUGCGGUAGGCGGAAUGUAUGGUGUAGCGGUGAAAUGCUUAGAGAUCAUACAGAACACCGAUUGCGAAGGCAGCUUACCAAUCUAUAACUGACGUUGAGGCACGAAAGCGUGGGGAGCAAACAGGAUUAGAUACCCGGGUAGUC